rnacentral:rRNA from 14 species
UAAGUUCCGACCUGCACGAAUGGCGUAACGACUUCCCCGCUGUCUCCAACAUAGACUCAGCGAAAUUGAAUUGCCUGUCAAGAUGCAGGCUUCCCGCGGUUAGACGGAAAGACCCCGUGCACCUUUACUGCAACUUUACAUUGGUGUUAGGAAAAACAUAUUUAGCAUAGGAGGGAGACAUUGAAGCAAAGGCGUCAGCUUUUGUGGAGUCACCAGUGAAAUACCUCUUUUGUUUUUCUUGGUAUCUAACUGAUUGCCGUCAUCCGGCAUCAAGACAUUGUAUGGUGGGUAGUUUGACUGGGGCGGUCGCCUCCUAAAGAGUAACGGAGGCGCGCGAAGGUUGGCUCAGAGCGGUCGGAAAUCGCUCGUUGAGUGCAAUGGCAGAAGCCAGCCUGACUGCGAGACUGACAAGUCGAGCAGAGACGAAAGUCGGCCAUAGUGAUCCGGUGGUCCCGAGUGGAAGGGCCAUCGCUCAACGGAUAAAAGGUACGCCGGGGAUAACAGGCUGAUACUGCCCAAGAGUCCAUAUCGACGGCAGUGUUUGGCACCUCGAUGUCGGCUCAUCUCAUCCUGGGGCUGGAGCAGGUCCCAAGGGUACGGCUGUUCGCCGUUUAAAGAGGUACGUGAGCUGGGUUUAGAACGUUGUGAAACAGUUUGGUCCCUAUCUGCCGUAGACGUUAGAAAAUUGAAAGAGGCUGACCCUAGUACGAGAGGACCGGGGAAGACUAACCUCUGGUGUAUCGGUUGUUUUGCCAAAAGCAUUGCCGAGUAGCUACGUUAGGUCGAAAGAAUUGCUGAAAGCAAAUAAGCAAGAAAUUGUUCUUGAGAUAAAUUUUCUAUAUAAGAACUGUAGAAGACUACUACGUUAAUAGGUUG